CAUGCUGACUAGCCAAUCAGGGCCUGAAGAGACAGCAUGGCUAGCUCAUAUACAGGGGUGAGGUGAAUGGGGACUGUUAGAUUGGCUAAGGCUAUGAGCUGAUAGCAAUUUCUUACUUGAGGGGGAGAAGAGGUGAGGAUGGGUGAGAGCUAGACAAACAAUAAACGCACACACUGGAAAAAUGUCCUAAAGCAGCCAAUUGGAUUCCAUGAAAUUUCAACACCUACAGUAGGAUUGGGAUAAUGGGAUAAUUAGGAGUACAGGGACAUCUUCCAUCCCUGGAUUGAGGCCGGUGGUAGCUGGUCCCAUGCAGGAAGGUGAGGUUCCGGAGGUCCCUCCGCCCCC